rnacentral:rRNA from 1 species
CAUGUCCUUUUGAGUAUAAUUUAAGGUCUAAUCUGCCCACUGAUAUAUUAAAUGGCCGCGAUAUUUUGAUCGUGCAAAGGUAGCAUAAUAAUUAGUUUUUUAAUUGAAAGCUGGUAUGAAUGAUUGAAUGAGAGAAAAGCUGUCUCAAUAUUAAUUAUUUAGAAUUUUAUUUUUAAGUAAAAAAGCUUAAAUAUAAUUAAAAGACGAGAAGACCCUAUAGAGUUUAAUAUUUAGGUAGUUAUUUGAGGAAAGAUUUAAGUUUAAAUAAUUAUUUUAUUUAUUUUGUUGGGGUGACAGAAAAAUUUAGUUAACUUUUUCUUUAUUAUUACAUAGAUAAAUGAUUUUUUGAUCCAAUAUUAUUGAUUAAAAGAAAAAAUUACCUUAGGGAUAACAGCGUAAUUUUUUUUUAGAGUUCUAAUCGAAAAAAAAGAUUGCGACCUCGAUGUUGGAUUAAAGUUAAGUUUAGGUGUAGGAGCUUAAAUUUAGGUCUGUUCGACCUUUAAAACUU